UACGUAGGUGACAAGCGUUGUCCGGAAUUAUUGGGCGUAAAGGGCGCGUAGGCGGCCUGACAAGUGGAUGGUGAAAUCCCUCGGCUUAACCGAGGAACUGCCAUCCAGACUGUUUGGCUUGAGACCGGGAGAGGUGAGUGGAAUUCCCAGUGUAGCGGUGAAAUGCGUAGAUAUUGGGAGGAACACCAGUGGCGAAGGCGGCUCACUGGACCGGUACUGACGCUGAUGCGCGAAAGCGUGGGGAGCAAACGGG
rnacentral:rRNA from 1 species